rnacentral:lncRNA from 1 species
UAUAAUAAGAAAACUCUUCGGGUCGGAAGGCUCUCGUUUUGUUUGAAAUCAAAUCUCUCGAGCGUUGACUGGAUUGCAAAGCACUUACUUGUUCGAAAAGCUCAGUGUCUUCCAGGAGUCUGCCGCGACCUCUGGCUCUGCCUCGCGCUGGUCGAGGGGCUGGUUGUGCCCAUGCUUGAGCCGUUUUUUCGAUUGAUAUGACUUAAAGUACCACUUUUUUCUGUUAGGUGUACGGAAAUGGGGACAGUCCCCAAGAGAAAGAGAACACGAGGUAGAGUCCACUUAAAAUUGAGUGAAAACGAAGAAUUUAAUUUAUACUAUUUAACUAGCGGGGACAGUCGGUGGAAAACCAAUUUAUUUGCUCCAUUGGCCCCCAAAAUUCGCCCACGAAAUUCGGAUUCCUUGGGGUUGCCGCGUUCCUCGACUUCAUACGACCUAUUCCAACCGAAAAAAAGGCCUGUUACGGCCUGUACCAUUUCUCCACCUUAUUUGAUUACAACUUUUGAUUGUCUUUUUUUUAGUUUUCACUGGAAGUUCAGUGUGGAUCAAGAUUCAGUGAAAACUAAAGAAGAUGUAAUAUCGAGUUUUAACGAUAUAUUUCUUUUUUUUUUUUUUUUUUUUAGAAAAAAUGGCGAAUAUUCAGCAAAUAUCGCCGGAUUUGACCGAGCUGUACGCCAAUUACGCAGACUACCCAAACCCGGGUGUUUU